GACAGAGGGUGCAAACGUUGUUCGGAAUUACUGGGCGUAAAGCGUGUGUAGGCGGCUUUGUAAGUCGGAUGUGAAAGCCCCGGGCUCGACCUGGGAAGUGCACUCGAAACUGCAAAGCUUGAGUAUCGGAGAGGUUGGUAGAAUUCUCGGUGGAGAGGUGAAAUUCGUAGAUAUCGAGGGGAAUACCAGUGGCGAAGGCGGCCAACUGGACGAAUACUGACGCUGAGACACGAAAGCGUGGGGAGCAAACAGG
rnacentral:rRNA from 1 species